CUGUCCGAGCGCUGCGCGCGUCCCCGGGAGCCAGGGAGCUGCAAAGCCUCCAGAGGCACCGAGCUGCCCCACGAGAGCUGAGGGGCACGGAGGUGGCUCCCCGUGCGCGGGGCACAAUCCCGGAAUAAAACCAUUCGGAUUGGGAAAGACCCCCGAGAUUGAUCCCGGUCAGCUCCUGACCCUUCCUUCUCCCCUUAGCUUGGUGAUUGAGUUCCAGUUCCCGCAGCGGUACCAACCCCGGGGCUGUGCACAUCCCAAAAGCAGCCGCAGCCCAGCGCUCCCCGAGGCGCCUUCGCCUCCAAGAGCUGCCCCGGGAGAGCCCGGGCUGGCACGGUGUGCAGCAGGGAUGCGGGGAUCCCGGGAGAGCCCGGGGCUGGCACGGUGUGCAGCAGGGAUGCGGGGAUCCCGGGAGAGCCCGGGCUGGCACGGUGUGCAGCAGGGAUGCGGGGAUCCCGGGAGAGCUGGGGCUGGCACGGUGUGCAGCAGGGAUCCCGGGAGAGCUGGGGCUGUGCCAGCAGGGAUGCAGGGAUCCCGGGAGAGCCCGGGGCUGGCACGGUGUGCAGCAGGGAUCCCGGGAGAGCCCGGGGCUGUGCCAGGGAUGCAGGGUCCAGUGGGCACACAGCUGUGCGCACUCCUAGCGCUGCCGCAGCCAGAGAGGCUCCCAUCCAUGGCUGCCGUUUCCCUGAGCCCUCCCAUGGUUAUUCCUGGCCAAAGACACGUUCAGAAAGCCAGGCAGAUCAUGGCAAGUCUCAGCCCAGAAAGCAGAGGCUUUGUGGAGAAGCCCAGGCACAGUGGCCUCAUCCUGGCUGUGCGCAGGCGACAGGAGGUGGACAGAGAUGCUGUGCCACCCCCAGGACCUUCUGGCUGCUCUCCACAUCCAACCACUCCCCCAGUUCCACCAUCCGAUCCACUUCACUUCAUCCCAAGUCCUUGCUCUCUCCUCCAAAGACAACAGGGACUUGGGAGAAUUAAAAACAAGAAUAAAAGUAUCUGAAAGUGCGACUUGAUUCCGAUGGAGACGGGAAGGGGCAGCGGCCCCGAGGCCGGGGCUGGCACGGAGCUGGGAGCUGGCAUUUGCUGGGCAGGGUCGGUGUCCCCACUUAUUCCCUGAAGAGCCCCCCCAGGAUUUUCUGCCAAAACACCUAAAUUGGAUUGCAAGGACGUUCCAGUUGUUCUCCGAGGCGUGUGGCCCGCAGAGAGCCCUUCCCUGUCCCUGCAGCUCCUCCCUGCCACGGGAGGCGGGUGUUCCUCAGGCAGAGCCAGCCCUCUGUCCCUCAGCACACCACAGAAAGCACAACACGAGGAGGGAGAAAGAUCUGGAACAGCGGUCAGGACGCUUCAAGGGUAUUUAACACGGUUCAGAAGGGGAGGCCUGAUUUUUGGGGAGACAGGUCACCAGGCAGCAGCAGAUGGAAGCUGUGCCCAUGGAACCGACCGGGACAGCCCCUGGUGGCACCUCUCCUCUGGGAUUGCUGCACAGCACGGGCUGGGCAGGACGGGCAGCAAUCCCACGGCAGCUCCUGUGUAUCCAGCCUGUGUCCCCUGGGUGCCAGGACUGCUGUUCUCCUUCUCCAAGGGAUGGAGAGCACUGGCCACAGCUGGCAUCGCUCUUCCCAAGUUGCCUGUGCUCCAGCAGCAGAAGGAUCCCAGAGCUGCUCCUCUUCAGGCCUUUCCCAAGUGUCCCCAGCAUUUUCAGAGCAGGUUUCAGCUGGGCUCCUGGGAUACCCAGCACAGAUUCCAUGGAAACUGAAGGGGAGACCCCUGGAGGGCGAGCAGGGCUGUAGGGAGGCGGCGGCUCCUGCGUGGGAGCAGAUGCUAAAAUUUGGCAUUUAAGGUCUCAGCACCAUCAGAAAAUCCUCUUGACUUCACCAACCCAGACUUUGGUUUCACAAGGACCGAGUGGCAGCAUGUGCCCAUCCUCUGUGACGGGAUUGUCUCCAUCAGGGAAUUCGCCUCGAGAGCUGGGAUGCUUUUUCUUCUUCUUCUGUUUUCUAUUUUUGGACGAAGCUUUUAGUGUGUUCCCCGUGUCCUGGUGAAGCCCAAACGUGCCUGCAGAUGCACACUCCAGCAUGAACAUGCUACAGAGAGAAAAACCUCUCUCCUGAUGGGAUGUCCACCCCAAAAUCCUGGGAUGCCCGUGCCUGGCCUGCUUAGCCUUGCUGCUCUGCCGGGUGUGGGGCCAAGGUUUAGGGUAAGCUCUGUAGGUGGGAUGCAGGAGGAUGGGGAUGUCUGUGAAUCCCAGGGUCAGGAUGGACAUCCCAGCAGGCCACCUUCAUCUUCCUCCUGGAGCACUGUGCCCGAGGCACACCUGGGGUCUUCACACCGGUGCUCCAACAAAGUCAUGGAGGGAUCCCAGGUCAGAAAUCAGCAACAGGGAUAUAACCAGCACCUGUCCAUACAGACUCUUCCAAGAUCACAAGAGGUGUAAGGUUUCUUUCACAGCAGGGACUGCUCAUGACAAAAACUCCAAAAGCCAACUCAACCCUAAGAAGAACAGAUGCUUCGGAGCAGGAGGUGUUACUUGAACUGAUCCAGCCCUAUGCCACGUCCUGGAGAUUGUGGUGUGAUGUCGUGGGUUUCUUUUUUGUAAAAAUCACAUUAUAUAUGGUACAAUACAUUUUUUACAGAAAGCCUGGCAUCUAGAAAUAAGAGGUAGAACUACUCAUAACUAUAUGUUUCCUGCUGCAGGAAAAAAAUUCAUUUUUCUUUACAGUAAUUAAAAAAAGGUUAAAAAAAUUGUCAAAAAAAAAAAAAAAAAGUCGUAGGUUAGGCCCCCAUAAUUUAAACAAAAUAAUCUAGGAAAAUAACACUCUUCCAUGUACCUGACGGAUUAAGUCCAUUAAAGUGUUUCUUUAAAAAAAAAUUGCAUAGGAAAGGGACAUUCCAAACAUGCUACAGCGAUGGCAACGGUCUGUCUGUGCCGGGAGUGAAGUACCUUCUCUUCUAUCUACAGGUGAGAGCACGUGAGGGUUAGCAGCACGUUCCAGCAGGAUCUGGGAGCAGCCAAGGAGCAGCCUGGAGCUCAGCUCUGUCCUGCCAGACAGGGCUGACAGCAGCCAGUGCCUCUGGUGCUCCUGCAGGGACAUUCCCAGUCCCGGGCAGGGACAUUCCCAGUCCCGGGCAGCCCAGCACGGAGGGGCAGCGGGGGCUCGGUUACCUUGGCCGGGGGGAGCAGGGAGCUUCUGAACAUUUGGCUAGUGACAGAAUGAAUUCGUAAAAGAUCAGACAGACAGACAAAUUACAAAGUAGUUUCUGUUCCCUUGCUCCUCCAGAAAUAACCAUUGUCUUCAGGCUCAAGUUCUAUUCUAAUUUGAGGCACAACUUUUACUGGAGUUCGUGGAGGGCUGCAAAGGAGAAGACAGACAAGGUCAGAGCAGCACAGAUGCUGGGCUUUGGGAAUAUACAGCCAGGUUUAAGGUCAGGCCCACACACAGAUAAUCUGAAUGAGCUGGUCUCAGCACUGCUUGGACACUUCCAGGGUGGAGCAUCCUGGUGUUCCACCCCAGGCUGUGCCACUGGAAUAAUCCGGGCAUGGCCGCUGGGAUGAAUUUCAGUGCCUGUCUAACAGCUGCAAGCACAGACACAUCUCUGGCAUUCCAGAGGGAUAAACCUGCCCUGCUCCACACCACAGUCCUGGUGCUGGGAGGCCCAAGCUGGCCCCAAGGGGCUGGUCUCUCAGCAAUUAUUACUUGCUGCAGUUUGAGAUUAUUCUUUGUUAAAGAUUAUUCAUUAUUUUCAAACACAGAUAUGGAAAAAUGGAUUACUUUCCUUUGGCACCAACCCUCUGGGCUCCUCCCAGUGCCCCCACGUGUUUCUCCUGGUCUGAUUCCCAAUGCAGUCCUCAUGCAGCAGCCAGGAGGCCAGUGGAGCCUCCAGGUCUCCCAGGUUCUCCACUGCCCAUCCCAAGCGCUGCCAGGGGCUGGAGUAACUAUGGAAUCACCUUGUCCCUGAUCACCUUGGGAAGCAGCCACCCAGGUGGGGCAGGUGGCUGUGAUCCUUGGGGAGCAGAGGUGCAUUUGUGGGUGCUUACCUUGGCAUGGCGUGUGGUUGAAGGAAGGGAAUUGUAUCAGCACGAUGUGUGGCGUUCGAGGAAUGUUGGUGACUUUUCUCCUGGGGGAAGAAAGCCUCGGUGUCACUGCUGCCUCCAGCCCUGCCUCAGCUCCUCCAACCCACAGCCAUGGGCCAAGCUCUCCUCCUGCCAGCUGCCUGAUGGAUUGAGCAAACACUCCAUUCCCUCCUCUGCAGGUAAAGUGCCACCAGCCCCGUCAGGCCUGACACUUACCUGGCACCUGCCCUGGCACAGCCCAGCUCCCUGGGAGAAACUUCUCUCUCCUGACCCUUGGGAGGCAUCUUCUCUGGGAAUAAAGCCCUAUUCCUGCUCUUGCUGCAGCACAGCCAGUGGUAGGGGUGCUGUCAGGAAUGUGCUCUGGAUCACAGAGUUACACCUUCAAGCACAAUCCCACGGUGCUGCUGCAUUCCAGGUUGGUUUGGGUUUUGUUAUUCCAGUGGCCUGGUAUGUUUUAAUUUUUAUUGUGCAUUGGUUUUAAUUAGAAACCAGCAAAUAAAAUACUGGAUUACAAAAAUGGAUAAAUAGACAAACCAACCACAGCUCAGCCCACGGCUGAUUUUCUCUGUUCCCUCUCCAAGGGCAUCCCAAAAACCAGGCUGAUGGCACAAGCACCUUUCCCUUAACUAUUUUAUCCCUUAGGAUGCUGGAAAAAAAGGCAACUGAUCCUAAAAUCCUGAGUAACAAUAUUUAGGUUGCAGUUUGGUUUUGGUAUCAGGAAUGUACUCAAACCAUGGAAUGAGGAGGAUGAGGUUGCCUGUGGCUGAUUUUGGAUGACAUGCUGACAUCAGCAAAACACUGAGGAUAUCCAAACAGCCAAGAAAAUGCCUCCUUUCCAAUGGUUUUAUUUUAUAAUCCCAAUCUCUGAGUGUUUUUGUAUCUAAAAGCCCCAGGGUAAGGUUUACCACUCCCUGGGGUCUCUACAUGCUACCAAAAGGAAAGGAACCUGGCUCCCAGCUCCUAAGACCUAUGGAUAAUUUAAGGAUCUCAAGAUCUGGGAUCUAGGUCCUGCUCCUAGGCAGCAGCACUAAUUUAUUUGGUUUAUACUUCUCCCCUCCCACCUGAGAAGAAAAGGGCAUAUGACACCCUUAGUAUGUUAAAAAGCCACCCCCAAAGGCAAAGCCACCAAGGUCAGCUGUGAUUCCUCACUUAAAAGAGGAAAAUGUAAAGUGGGAAUGACUGAAAAUAAAGAUUAAAUUCAACAAUUACAGCUAUUAACAUCAGAAAUGAAAACCUAUAAGAAGAGCACAAGCACCUAAGAAGGGAAAUGUGUUAAUGGCCAACUGAUCUCUGCCUGUGCAGCUUAAUGACACAAAUAAAUAAUUACUCUGUUAAA